rnacentral:rRNA from 1 species
GAUGAACGCUGGCGGCGUGCCUAAUACAUGCAAGUCGAGCGAACGGACGAGAAGCUUGCUUCUCUGAUGUUAGUGGCGGACGGGUGAGUAACACGUGGAUAACCUACCUAUAAGACUGGGAUAACUUCGGGAAACCGGAGCUAAUACCGGAUAAUAUUUCGAACCGCAUGGUUCAAAAGUGAAAGACGGUCUUGCUGUCACUUAUAGAUGGAUCCGCGCUGCAUUAGCUAGUUGGUAAGGUAACGGCUUACCAAGGCAACGAUGCAUAGCCGACCUGAGAGGGUGAUCGGCCACACUGGAACUGAGACACGGUCCAGACUCCUACGGGAGGCAGCAGUAGGGAAUCUUCCGCAAUGGGCGAAAGCCUGACGGAGCAACGCCGCGUGAGUGAUGAAGGUCUUCGGAUCGUAAAACUCUGUUAUUAGGGAAGAACAUAUGUGUAAGUAACUGUGCACAUCUUGACGGUACCUAAUCAGAAAGCCACGGCUAACUACGUG